rnacentral:piRNA from 1 species
UGACAUCCACACCAGUGAAGUCUGCUUUGA